rnacentral:misc_RNA from 1 species
AAAAGAGUUCUAAACUCCAAACCCACUGCGUACAUACACGUUGUUGCUUCGGCAGGCGGCUUUCAGAGCCUUUGGCCCCCCGUGGGCGCCUGCCGGAGGUCCAAAACUCUUCUGUUUUUAGUACCGUGCUUCUCUGAGUUUGUUACAAAUAUAAGUAA